rnacentral:rRNA from 1 species
AGCGUAGGCGGACAUUUAAGUCAGGGGUGAAAUCCCCGGGCUCAACCUCGGAAUUGCCUUUGAUACUGGGUGUCUUGAGUAUGAGAGAGGUGUGUGGAACUCCGAGUGUAGAGGUGAAAUUCGUAGAUAUUCGGAAGAACACCAGUGGCGAAGGCGACACACUGGCUCAUUACUGACGCUGAGGCUCGAAAGCGUGGGGAGCAAACA